UGGGGAAUAUUGGACAAUGGGCGCAAGCCUGAUCCAGCCAUGCCGCGUGGGUGAAGAAGGCCCUAGGGUUGUAAAGCCCUUUCAGCGGGGACGAUAAUGACGGUACCCGCAGAAGAAGCUCCGGCUAACUUCGUGCCAGCAGCCGCGGUAAUACGAAGGGAGCUAGCGUUGUUCGGAAUUACUGGGCGUAAAGGGCGCGUAGGCGGACAUCUAAGUCAGGGGUGAAAUCCCAGGGCUCAACCCUGGAAUUGCCUUUGAUACUGGACGUCUCGAGUUCGGGAGAGGUGAGUGGAAUUCCGAGUGUAGAGGUGAAAUUCGUAGAUAUUCGGAGGAACACCAGAAGCGAAGGCGGCUCACUGGCCCGAUACUGACGCUGAGGCGCGAAAGCGUGGGGAGCAAACA
rnacentral:rRNA from 1 species